rnacentral:rRNA from 1 species
AACUAGCCCUGAAAAUGGAUGGCGCUGAAGCGGGCGGCUUAUACACCGCCAUCAGGGUAGGGAGUAUGCCCUGAUGAGUAGGAGGGCGUGGGGCUUGUGACGCAGCCUUGGGCGUGAGCCCGGGUGAAACAGGCUCUAGUGCAGAUCUUGGUGGUAGUAGCAAAUAUUCAAAUGGGAACUUUGAAGAUCGAAGUGGAGAAGGGUUCCAUGUGAACAGUACUUGGACAUGGGUUAGUCGAUCCUAAGGGAUAGGGAUAUUCCGCAUAUGCAGGCUUAGCCCCGCUUCUCGAAAGGGCAUGGGGUCAAUACUCCCCAACUAGGACAUGGAUACUUGAUGGCAACAUAAGAGAACUCGGCAAUACAGACGGAGGCCUUGGACAGCGUUGUCUUUUCUUCCUAACCAUCUGGUACCCUGAAAUCAGAUUGCCUGGAGAUAGGGUUCACUCUUGGGUAAAGCACCUUGUCUUCCGAGGUGUCCGGUGCGCUUCCGGCUGUCCUUGAAAAGUCGAGCGACAUGCUUAUUCACAUCCCUGCUCGUACCCAUAACCGCAUCAGGUCUCCAAGGUUAGCAGCC